rnacentral:rRNA from 1 species
GUCCUAGCCGUAAACGGUGUGCACUUGCUGUGGGAGGAAUUAUCCCCUUCCGUGGCGAAGCUAACGCGAUAAGUGCACCGCCUGGGGAGUACGGUCGCAAGACUAAAACUCAAAGAAAUUGACGGGGCCCGCACAAGCGGUGGAGCAUGUGGCUUAAUUCGAUGCAACGCGAAGAACCUUACCUGGAUUUGACAUGCGGCUGCAAGCCCCCGUGAAAGCGGGGCCGCCUUCGAGGGUGCCGCACAGGUGCUGCAUGGCUGUCGU